rnacentral:rRNA from 1 species
CGGGUGAGUAAUGCUUAGGAAUCUGCCUAUUAGUGGGGGACAACAUCUCGAAAGGGAUGCUAAUACCGCAUACGUCCUACGGGAGAAAGCAGGGGAUCACUUGUGACCUUGCGCUAAUAGAUGAGCCUAAGUCGGAUUAGCUAGUUGGUGGGGUAAAGGCCUACCAAGGCGACGAUCUGUAGCGGGUCUGAGAGGAUGAUCCGCCACACUGGGACUGAGACACGGCCCAGACUCCUACGGGAGGCAGCAGUGGGGAAUAUUGGACAAUGGGGGGAACCCUGAUCCAGCCAUGCCGCGUGUGUGAAGAAGGCCUUAUGGUUGUAAAGCACUUUAAGCGAGGAGGAGGCUCUUUUGGUUAAUACCCAAGAUGAGUGGACGUUACUCGCAGAAUAAGCACCGGCUAACUCUGUGCCAGCAGCCGCGGUAAUACAGAGGGUGCAAGCGUUAAUCGGAUUUACUGGGCGUAAAGCGCGCGUAGGCGGCCAAUUAAGUCAAAUGUGAAAUCCCCGAGCUUAACUUG